rnacentral:rRNA from 1 species
CAGGGGGAUAACACUUAGAAAUAGGUGCUAAUACCGCAUAACAACAGAAAGCGCAUGCUUUUUGUUUGAAAACCAAGGUGGUAUGGGAUGGACCCGCGUCUGAUUAGCUGGUUGGCGGGGUAAAGGCCCACCAAGGCGACGAUCAGUAGCCGGCCUGAGAGGGUGGACGGCCACAUUGGGACUGAGACACGGCCCAAACUCCUACGGGAGGCAGUAGUGGGGAAUAUUGCACAAUGGGGGAAACCCUGAUGCAGCGACGCCGCGUGAGUGAAGAAGUAAUUCGUUAUGUAAAGCUCUAUCAGCAGGGAAGAAAAUGACGGUACCUGAGUAAGAAGCCCCGGCUAACUACGUGCCAGCAGCCGCGGUAAUACGUAGGGGGCAAGCGUUAUCCGGAUUUACUGGGUGUAAAGGGAGCGUAGACGGCAGUGCAAGUCUGGAGUGAAAGGCGGGGGCUCAACCCCCGGACUGCUCUGGAAACUGUACGGCUGGAGUGCAGGAGAGGUAAGUGGAAUUCCUAGUGUAGCGGUGAAAUGCGUAGAUAUUAGGAGGAACACCAGUGGCGAAGGCGGCUUACUGGACUGUAACUGACGUUGAGGCUCGAAAGCGUGGGGAGCAAACAGGAUUAGAUACCCUGGUAGUCCACGCCGUAAACGAUGAUCACUAGGUGUCGGGGGUUAAAGAACCUUCGGUGCCGCAG